AACGCACGAGACCUGCGGACCUGCGGAGGGAUCAUUAACGAGUGUAACUUACCCUUUUUUUUAAAAGAGGGUAGUACCUCCUGUCCUUUGUAGGCCCCUUUUUAUUGGGGGGCUUUUUAAGACUUUCUGCUUCGGCGGGGUUAUUCCCGCCGGAACACCCUCAAAAAACUCUUCAAAAACUAAUUCAGUCCGAGAAUUUUUGAAAAUAAAAAAAACUUUCAACAAUGGAUCUCUAGAUCG
rnacentral:misc_RNA from 1 species